UGGCCCCGCCCACCGAGCGCUGUACGGCUCGCAGGCCCGAGGACCUACCUGCCCGGGACUGGCGCGGUCCCCCAGUGGGGAGAGCCCCGGGGUCAGGCAGAUACGCCCGGGGCCAAGUGUCGCCCCAGGGUGGGGGGAUGGGUGCUCAGCCGCCCGCGGCCCCUACCGAGCAUGCUCAGUCGAGGGUCCGACUGCCGGCUCCGGCCUGGGGCGCCCGCCACCACCCUGCGGAGGGAGAGGAAGCGGGAGUGUCCCUUCCAGACACUAUGGAAAAGUACCAGGUGCCCGGCUGUCCCCUGGCGGGAGGCGGGGGCAGCACGGGGCCGACGGUCGGGGCGAACCCGAGGCCUGGGCCUCCUGCCACCACUCCAGUCCCCUACUGACUUAACGGUCACAGCCCCUGGAGCGGUGGCCCGCGGCCCGGUCCCCCCCCCAGGUAGGCAAGGGGCCUGUGCUCCAGCCAGGCACCUCCAAAGGCGACCCCUUCGGCGCUCCUUUCCCCUCUGGCCCUCAGUUUCCCUCAAAAAUGAUGAAUGAAAUGAAGGCCUUUCCAACCCCUUUUCGUCCGAGUAUUUGGGGGCAGUGGACAGCUCCAUACUUCCCACCAUGGGUCCACGUGCUUUGCGCCCAGGAAGAGAGGACCCCCCCUAGAAUGCCCAGAGUUCAGAAUCAGGAGUCCCUAAACUCUUUUUUUUUUUCUAAUUUUUUAUUAAGGUAUGAUUGAUAUACACUCUUAUGAAGGUUUCAUAUGAAAAAACAAUGUGGUUACUACAUUUACCCAUAUUAUCAAGUCCCCACCCAGACCCCAAUGCAGUCACUGUCCAUCAGUGCAGCAGGAUGCCACAGAUCCACUACGUCCCUUCUCUGUGCCACACUGCUCUCCCCGUGACCCCCCCACACUAUGUGCACUAGACAUAAUGCCCCUCCGUCCCCUUCUCCCUCCCACACCCCUCCCCUUUGGUGACCACUAGUCCCUUCUUGGAGUAAGAGUCCCUAAACUCUUGAAACACCAAACAGUAGACCCAUGUAGGGGGAUGUGGGCCUUUUCCAGGGCCUGUGAAAAUGUUUUAAGACCUGAAAAAUUCAGAAAAGAAAAGCUGCAAAAUAAAAAUGAAUAACUUAUACAUGCAUCUGUACAUAAUAUAUCAGCCCUCUUAAAUGUUAGAGUCCAUCUUUGUAAGAUUCCCUUAAUUUGAAAACAACUUGCCAAUCAGAUUUUUCUCACUUUACAAGAAUCCCUUUGUGUGGGAGGACCCUAGAGGAGUAGGCCAUGGCAAAGCAGGUAGGCUUCUGGAAAAAUCUUCCCAGAUGUUCUGGAUAAAAACAAUGGACUCAAUGGACUCAUCUGAGAUAUGAAUGUGUUGUUACCGUGUAAUUUGCCACCUAAGAGGACCUAGGUAUGUGCAUUCUUGUAUCAACUUCGGCCGAUCUCGACAUUGUUCCUGUCAUUCCCAGAGCAGAAUUCAGGCUGCUGUCGGGAGCCAGAUUACAGAAUCCUAAGGCUUUUCUGGACUCGUAGGGUCCUUAGACUGAGGGUUCCAUCUCCUACCUCCCCUCCCCUGCAUCCUGCCCCCCUCUCUCAUCCUCUGACAAAUGCAGUCGCACCAUCCAACCCCUGCACCCCAUAGUCCUUCGCCUCACUGCCCAGAGUCCUGGCAUGGUGGCCAUCUCUCUGCAGGUUUGGUUCAAAGCACAGGCUCUGGAGUCAUACCCCAGAGUUCCAGUCCGAUCCAGGGCACUUCACUUACCAGCACUGUGGCUCCAGGCAAAGACCUAGACCCUGUGCCUCAGUUUCCUCCGAUGUGAUGAUGGAGAUCACCCUAGUGCUGACUGCAGGGGUGGCUGCACAGUGCCAGGCACACAUGGCUGUGACUAGGCACCAGUACAGACCAGUUACUUUCUUUGGAUGCCCAGUUUGGAGGUGGAUGCUAGAAGUUAGGGCAAAGAGGGCUAGAGAGAGUGAACAAGCCCCUCUGAGGGAUGUGCUGGCUCUUGGACACCAGCCAGUCUUCUCAGCUGACUAGAGAAGAGCUGGGUGGUGGAGGAGCUCCAGAAUCAGUCCCAGAGAGAUGGGCUCAGGUUCCAGGUUUUGCCAUCCAGGGCCUCAUCAGCCUGCUGGGCGUUUCUUUGUCUGCAAAUGGGGCAGAGACCCUUGUUCUGCCAGCCCACAGGGUUUUGGACCAGUUGAGCCCUGGGGCCUUGGGGGUGAACCUAGUGGUGGAGGAGACAGAAACCAAAGUAAAACUCGUGAUAAAGCAGGUACAAUGCAUUGAUGAGUAUCAUGCCAACAAGGCCCUGGAAGAGCUGAUGCCGCUGCUGAAGCUUCAGCACGCCCACGUCUCCACGUACCAGGAGCUGUUCGUGAUGUGGAAUAGCAAGAGUUCCUCUGUGUUCCUCUGCCUGGUGAUGGAGUACUACAGGGGAAGCUUCCAGACGGUCAUUGAGAAGAAGAGGGUGACUCGGGCAGUCAUUGACCCCGAGUGGAUGCAGAACAUGCUGGGCCAGGUGCUGGAUGCUCUGGACUAUUUGCACCGAUCAGACAUCCUCCACAGGAACCUCAAGCCCUCCAACAUUGCCCUGGUCAGCAGCAGCCACUGCAAACUGCAGGACCUGAGCUCCAGCGCGCUCAUGACCGAUAGGGCCAAGGGGAACGUUCAUGCAGAGGAAGACCCUUUACAUAAGUCCUGGAUGGCCCCUGAAGCCCUCACCUUCUCCUUCAGUCAGAAAUCCGACAUCUGGUCUUUGGGCUGCAUCAUCCUCGACAUGGUCAGCUGCUCCUUCAUGGACGCAGCAGAAGCCAUGAGUUUGCGCAGGUCCAUCCGGAGUCUCCCAGACGGCCUGCAGGGCGUCCUGAAGACCAUGGCGGAGAAGCAGCUCCCCGACACAGCGGCCUACAGCUCCCUUCUGCCUUGGAUGCUGCGGAUCAACCCCUCGGAGCGAGCCACCGUCAGGGAUGUGAUGCACAUCGCCUUUGUGAGCAGCAACUUCGGGUCCUCGAGCAUGGCUGUGCCGCUGUGCGGGCAGGUGGUGCCAGCGUCCGUCACCGACCUGCUGUUGGAAAGCAACAUCGCCAGCAUCAUAGAGGUCAUGCAGAACUUCGCCAGCCAACCCGAAGUCCAGCUCAGGGCCAUGAAGAGGCUCCUGCGAAUGCCUGAGCAGCAGCUAGGUCUGCCAUGGCCGAUGGAGCUCGUAGAGGUGUUGAUGGCUACCAUGGAGCAGCACGAGGGGAUCCUUGACGUCCAGCUGUGCGGCUGCUCCCUGCUGCUGCGUAUUCUGGGCCUAGCACUGGUACAGGACCCGGAAGCCGAGGCGCCGAGGGACCCCUCCGUCCUGCUGAGGAUCCUGCGGAGCCACCCUGGGUCGGAGCAGCUCCUGGUCCUGGCCUACAGCUUGCUCACCAUCAUCUCCAGCCAGGGAUCGGUCUCAGAGGAGCUGCAGAAGGCUGAGCUGUUCGAGCACAUCCUGGAGCGCUCGGACGCCUUCUCCAGGAACAGAGACGUCUGCAUCAGUGGCCUGGGCCUGCUCUGGGCCCUCCUGGUGGAUGACAACAUUGUGAACAAGGCUGCUCUGGAGAAAGCCCCGGUCCUUGUUACCAAGGUGCUGGCCACCUACCCCACGGAUGUGGAGGUGGCUGAAGCUGGCUGCGCGGUCCUCUGGCUGCUGUCCCUGCUAGGCUGCCUAAAGGAGCAGCAGUUUGAAGGGGUGGUCGCCCUGUUCCUGAAAAGCAUCCGCCUGAGCCAGGACAGAGUCCUGCUGGUGAAGAAUGCCUACCGGGGCCUAGCCAGCCUCGCGAAGGUGUCCGGUGAGCACGGGGACUGACUGGGCUGCCGCUGGGAGGCGGGGGCAAACUCGGCAAGCACUGUCUUCCAGUGGCCCACAAACCAAAGACAGAAGCCAAGUCAGAACAGGAGAACUAUAGUCCCACAUCCAGAAGUUGCCCAGGGGCCUCACACACUUGAUACAGUUUUUGCUGAAGACUGUUGUGACCAUCUUUCCCUGUCCACACACACGUUUUAGGUCCACACAGAUUUUCGUACAGGUAUAGCUUAUUGAAGCAGCCCCGGAGACUGGUCUAUUUCCAAAUUCCCACCUCUGCAACACAGACGCUGGCUGUCACCCAGCAGGCCGCACCAGGCCGUGCCUGAGUCAGGACACAGUGACCCUUACAGACACUUGGGGAUGGGGACCGGCCAGAGUCCCCAGAGGGUGUGUGAGGAGUGGCUUGGCCCCUGUGAAGUCCACCUCAACUCAGCACUCCAGGGCAGCUGUGCCGGCUGGGCUGGGCUGGGGGCCACAAAUCUGGAUGGGAACGCAAAGCUGGGCAGGCCUCUGUCUGCUACUCGGCCUCAUGGGAGUGGUGCCACCUUCACUCCGAGGAGGCCCAAAGAGCAGGGCAGGGUAGGGUCUUUCUUCUCAGGUGGACACCCCAGGCUCCAGGGCUGCCUCCUGAGGUCCCACCCGCAACAGGUCUGUGCCCAACGUCAGCUACCAACCCUCAUGGAUGGGGGCGACUGAGGCCCUGAGGGCAAAGGGGGUAUGGCUGAGCUCCUGAGGAGCCAGGCCAUCCGAUCAGGACCCCAGAGCCAAAGUCUGGGUGAGAAUCGGCUUUGCUGCCUCCAGCAGGCACGUGUGAGACAAGUAAUGUCUGCCUGCAGCACAUGUCACCGCACACAGGCCUAACCCAUGACCCAGGCGCCCUGGGUCUCCCCACAGGCCCUCUGGAGCAGGUCCCCGUUGCUUCUGUCAUGCCCACAGGUUGGGCCGCCCCUCCAGCAGACGCCUUUUGUUGGGAGAGGGAGGCAGGACGUAUACUCCCACCAGGAAAUGAAGCCAGCAGAUAGAUGCCUUUGCAAACUAGCUGGUCAGGAGUGGGGAACCCGACCUGAGGCGGCUGUGGGCACCGCGGCUGUCCCAGCAGCAGCUGAGGCCCUUGCUGUCUGCUGUCCCAAGCACUCUGGACCCACAACCCUAAGAACUUGAGCUGGCAGCGCUGCAGGUGGUGGCGCCGGCGGAGGGCAGCAGCGGCCUCACCCUCCUCCAGGAGACAUACCAGCUCUACAAGGACGACCCGGAGGUGGUGGAGAAUGUGUGCAUGCUGCUGGCCCACCUCGCUUCCUA